CUUUCUCCGCCGGCGACCGGCGCACGGGUGAGUAACACGUAUGCAACCUGCCCCGUGUCAGGGGGACAACCCGCCGAAAGGCGGGCUAAACCCGCGUACAUGCCACCGGGGCAUCCCGGAGGCAGGAAAGGCUUCGGCCGGACAGGGAUGGGCAUGCGGCGCAUUAGGCAGUAGGCGGGGUAACGGCCCACCUAACCGACGAUGCGUAGGGGUUCUGAGAGGAAGGUCCCCCACACUGGUACUGAGACACGGACCAGACUCCUACGGGAGGCAGCAG
rnacentral:rRNA from 1 species